rnacentral:lncRNA from 1 species
AUGGUGAUACCUGAGGGUUUCAAACACACCUGGUCACCGGGACAGUUGUGCAUGUUCGGGCUCGUGUCUGUUGUCCUCAUGGGGCUAACGUCACCACAGACAGUCGGUGACCAGACAGGGACUGAUCCCACAUCCAGUCCGACUACAGUUAAUAACACGACCAACGUGACAGAAUCCAGCACCAUCACAGACUGGGAAGAAAGGAUAAUUGGGUGUUAUAUUAUACGUUUUAAUCCACUUCCUGUCAUGAUCAUAGCUGGCAUCGUCCUCCUCGUCUUUGUCCUCGUCCUCGUCCUCAUCAUCAACUGCUACAGAAAGAAUUGUGCAAAACGCACCAUCAAAGAU